AGAGUUUGAUCCUGGCUCAGAACGAACGCUGGCGGCAGGCCUAACACAUGCAAGUCGAACGGGGCGAAGGUGCUUGCACCCUAGCCUAGUGGCAAACGGGUGAGUAACGCGUAGGCAACCUACCCAUGAGAUGGGGACAACAUCCCGAAAGGGGUGCUAAUACCGAAUGUUGUAAAUUUACCGCAUGGCAGAUUUACUAAAGGCCGGGCAACCGGUCACUCAUGGAUGGGCCUGCGUCUGAUUAGCUAGUUGGAGGGGUAACGGCCCACCAAGGCGACGAUCAGUAGCCGGUCUGAGAGGAUGAACGGCCACAUUGGGACUGAGACACGGCCCAGACUCCUACGGGAGGCAGCAGUGGGGAAUCUUCCGCAAUGGGCGAAAGCCUGACGGAGCAACGCCGCGUGAGUGAAGAAGGUCUUCGGAUCGUAAAGCUCUGUUGUCAGGGACGACACCUUUCCUCAGGAAAUGGGGGAAAGCAGACGGUACCUGACGAGGAAGCCACGGCUAACUACGUGCCAGCAGCCGCGGUAAUACGUAGGCGGCAAGCGUUGUCCGGAAUCAUUGGGCGUAAAGGGAGCGCAGGUGGAAAAACAAGUCUUUCUUAAAAGUGCGGGGCUCACCCCCGUGAUGGGGAAGAAACUGUUUUUCUUGAGUGCAGGAGAGGAAAGCGGAAUUCCUAGUGUAGCGGUGAAAUGCGUAGAUAUUAGGAAGAACACCAGUGGCGAAGGCGGCUUUCUGGACUGUAACUGACACUGAGGCUCGAAAGCGUGGGGAGCGAACAGGAUUAGAUACCCUGGUAGUCCACGCCGUAAACGAUGGAUACUAGGUGUAGGAGGUAUCGACCCCUUCUGUGCCGGAGUUAACGCAAUAAGUAUCCCGCCUGGGGAGUACGGCCGCAAGGCUGAAACUCAAAGGAAUUGACGGGGGCCCGCACAAGCAGCGGAGCAUGUGGCUUAAUUCGAAGCAACGCGAAGAACCUUACCAGGGCUUGACAUGACGGUGAAGCGGCGGAGACGCCGUGGCCGAGAGGAGCCGCCACAGGUGGUGCAUGGCUGUCGUCAGCUCGUGUCGUGAGAUGUUGGGUUAAGUCCCGCAACGAGCGCAACCCCUGCCCCGUGUUGCCAGCAUUCAGUUGGGGACUCGCGGGGGACUGCCGGCGUCAAGCCGGAGGAAGGUGGGGAUGACGUCAAGUCAUCAUGCCCCUUAUGCCCUGGGCUGCACACGUGCUACAAUGGCCGGUACAGAGGGCUGCCACUCAGCGAUGAGGAGCGAAUCCCCCAAAGCCGGCCCCAGUUCGGAUCGCAGGCUGCAACCCGCCUGCGUGAAGUCGGAGUUGCUAGUAAUCGCGGAUCAGCACGCCGCGGUGAAUACGUUCCCGGGCCUUGUACUCACCGCCCGUCAA
rnacentral:rRNA from 1 species